AUUGAACGCUGGCGGCAUGCCUUACACAUGCAAGUCGAACGGCAGCACGGGAGCAAUCCUGGUGGCGAGUGGCGAACGGGUGAGUAAUAUAUCGGAACGUGCCCAGUCGUGGGGGAUAACGUAGCGAAAGCUACGCUAAUACCGCAUACGAUCUAUGGAUGAAAGCGGGGGAUCGCAAGACCUCGCGCGAUUGGAGCGGCCGAUAUCAGAUUAGGUAGUUGGUGAGGUAAAGGCUCACCAAGCCGACGAUCUGUAGCUGGUCUGAGAGGACGACCAGCCACACUGGGACUGAGACACGGCCCAGACUCCUACGGGG
rnacentral:rRNA from 1 species